rnacentral:rRNA from 1 species
UAGGGGAAUCUUCCGCAAUGGGCGAAAGCCUGACGGAGCAACGCCGCGUGAGUGAUGAAGGUCUUCGGAUCGUAAAACUCUGUUGUUAGGGAAGAACAAAUUUGUUAGUAACUGAACAAGUCUUGACGGUACCUAACCAGAAAGCCACGGCUAACUACGUGCCAGCAGCCGCGGUAAUACGUAGGUGGCAAGCGUUAUCCGGAAUUAUUGGGCGUAAAGCGCGCGUAGGCGGUUUCUUAAGUCUGAUGUGAAAGCCCACGGCUCAACCGUGGAGGGUCAUUGGAAACUGGGAAACUUGAGUGCAGAAGAGGAGAGUGGAAUUCCAUGUGUAGCGGUGAAAUGCGCAGAGAUAUGGAGGAACACCAGUGGCGAAGGCGGCUCUCUGGUCUGUAACUGACGCUGAUGUGCGAAAGCGUGGGGAUCAAACAGGAUU